rnacentral:rRNA from 1 species
GAUGAACGCUGGCGGCGUGCCUAAUACAUGCAAGUCGAGCGAACGGACGAGAAGCUUGCUUCUCUGAUGUUAGCGGCGGACGGGUGAGUAACACGUGGAUAACCUACCUAUAAGACUGGGAUAACUUCGGGAAACCGGAGCUAAUACCGGAUAAUAUUUUGAACCGCAUGGUUCAAAAGUGAAAGACGGUCUUGCUGUCACGUAUAGAUGGAUCUGCGCUGCAUUAGCUAGUUGGUAAGGUAACGGCUUACGAAGGCAACGAUGCAUAGCCGACCUGAGAGGGUGAGUGGCCACCCUGGAACUGAGACACGGUCCAGACUCCUACGGGAGGCAGCAGUAGGGAAUCUUCCGCAAUGGGCGAAAGCCUGACGGAGCAACGCCGCGUGAGUGAUGAAGGUCUUCGGAUCGUAAAACUCUGUUAUUAGGGAAGAACAUAUGUGUAAGUAAAUGUGCACAUCUUGACGGUAACUAAUCAGAAAGCAACGGCUAACUACGUG